rnacentral:rRNA from 1 species
CCUACGGGGGGCAGCAGUGAGGAAUAUUGGUCAAUGGACGAGAGUCUGAACCAGCCAAGUAGCAUGAAGGAUGACUGCCCUAUGGGUUGUAAACUUCUUUUAUAUGGGAAUAAAAUGUUCCACGUGUGGGUUUUUGUAUGUACCUUAUGAAUAAGGAUCGGCUAACUCCGUGCCAGCCGCCGCUGUAAUACGGCGGAUCCGAGCGUUAUCCGGAUUUAUUGGGUUUAAAGGGAGCGUAGGUGGGUUGUUAAGUCAGUUGUGAAAGUUUGCGGCUCAACCGUAAAAUUGCAGUUGAAACUGGCAGUCUUGAGUACAGUAGAGGUAGGCGGAAUUCGUGGUGUAGCGGUGAAAUGCUUAGAUAUCACGAAGAACUCCGAUUGCGAAGGCAGCUCACUGGACUGCAACUGACACUGAGGCUCGAAAGUGUGGGUAUCAAACAGGAUUAGAUACCCUUGUAGUC